AUUUUCUAGGAGCCUACCUUUACUUAGCCUCACAACAUGGGCCUUAGCUUUAGCACUUAAUCUGCACAAAUACCUGGCUUAAGUGUUAUGACUGACUGGCUAUUCAACCAAACCAUACAAAUGACCAAUUCGGUAAGAAAGCAUGAACUUCAGUGUUGAACCAAAUCAACCAACCUCCUCAAUCCAAAUGAAAACGGAAGCAUGUUUGGGCUGAGAGGACAGGUUGCCAGUUGUCUGAACCAGUCAUUCCAACCAGGCUUCACACUUCUGCAAAGAAGAGAGGGCUAGAAUGCCCAGUAGGAGUGCAGACUGGAGGAUCGGCUGUUUUUUGAACUGGAGACAUCACAGGAAACUGGGGAGGCUCCAAAUUGCUAACCUGAGGCCGGAGCAAAAACUUUUUUUUUGUCGAAGGGACUGCUUUUUUUAUUUCCCCUUCAACGGAUGGCAUCCCAAGUCCUGCUGGAUUGCAUCUGUCUUUGUUCCUGCAGCCAAGCCUUAUAGCUGGCUCACACUCUGCCAUGCUCAUAACCUCACACUAGAAAGGAUAUUACAAAGAGGGGCAAACACCCUAGAGGGUUCCCCUUUAUCAGAACCUUCCCUGUCAGUGGGCUCCUCAUUUCCCGAGCCCUCGUCUGAUUAUUAGUGUACUGACGGAAUAAAAAUAACCUCAUAUUCCUACAUGAAUCAUAAAUAAAAUCCUUUUAUUUCAUCAAA
rnacentral:lncRNA from 1 species